UAAUGGGAACGUAUCAAUGACCCUUGAUAAACUAUCGGGAAUUCGGGGGGAUUUGGUGCGCAACGACCCUGAGUGGGAUGCCUGGGAUUUUAUCAAACUAACUGAUGCCGUGAAUCAAUGGGUAAAGAGAAACCCCGUAACUAGCUCUGGAGGGUAACGGGAGGAGAACAAUGCAAGAAAACUCUUCCAUUCUCAAAAUCAGCGAUUUGUGCCCAGGGGAUGUGUUUACUGCGGUGAUUUGGGCCAUAAAGCCGUCCAAUGCGAAAACGUUAGUGAUGUAGGCGAAAGAAAGAAAAUACUGGCAAGAAAGGGUCUUUGUUUUAAUUGCGCAACGAAACCCCAUCGCGCUGCUGAUUGUACAAGUAAAUCUGCCUGCAGCCAAUGCGGCAAACGUCAUCACUCAUCCAUUUGUGAUCAAGCUAAACAUGCGUCCGGUGAUAAGAAGUUGAUGACAGAUGGUGGCAGUGGUGAGGGCAUAUUUCCUGUAGUUGUGAUUAAAGUAAAUGGUUUAACAUGCCGCGCGUUGAUAGACUCUGGCGCCGGGAGCUCUUAUGCCUCAGCUCAAUUAAUUAGUGCACUUGUCAUCAAGCCGAGUGAAAUUAAAGAUCAACAAAUUGAUAUGCUCUUGACAUCACGCAAAGCAAAGGUCGAGCAAUAUGACGUAACCAUCACUUCCUACGACGGAAGGCACGAAAUGAUGACGCGAUUAAACAAGGUCGAUAAGAGAGAGCUCUUGUUCAUUGAAAACCCUGAGUACGAGAAGUUGAUAAAGCGUUAUCAACACCUCAACGCGGUACAUAUGGACGAUCACGACACGAAAAGUCAACUACCCAUUCACGUCAUCCUCGGAAGCGGUGAAUAGGCCCGUAUAAAGACAGCAACGAAACCUCUUAUCGGGGGAGAAGGAGCCAGUGGCGGAGAGGACCAAGUUGGGAUGGAUGAUCCUCAGUCCUGGGGCCGAGUUUGACAAGACGAAAAUGUUCUUAACUCAGACAUCGCAAAUGGAUUUCGACAAGCUAUGCCGUCUAGACGUACUCGGUCUCGCAGACAGCGCAGAGAACGAUCAACUUCCUGUAUACGAAGAGUUUCAAGAACAACUCGAGAGAAGCCCCGAAGGAUGGUACGAAACUGGCCUGACCUGGAGAUCAAACAACCCCCCUCUGUCAACCAAUGAAAUGGGGAGUCGUCGACGCUUAGACAACUUGGUAAAGCGGCUGAAGGCCAGUGAUCAAUACGACCAGUAUAAUGACAUAAUUACUCAGCAGUUGGAAGAUGGGGUGAUCGAACUGGCUCCACAAGAAGCAAGUGACAAGGAAUUUUACAUUCCACACAAAGCGGUUGUCAAAAACACGGCUGAAACAACAAAGCUGCGUAUUGUUUACGAUGCUUCCGCCAAAGAAUCCAGGACAUCGCCGUCCUUGAACGAUUGUUUAAACCCCGGUCCCUCGUUGCAAAAUCUUCUUUGGUCCAUCUUGGUUCGUUCCCGAUUCCUCCCUAUCCUGCUCACUGGCGAUCUUGAGAAAGCAUUUCUUCAGGUGAGAAUCAAAGAAGCUGAACGUGAUGCACUCAGGUUUCAUUGGAAAGCACCUCGAAGCGAUGAUACAGUCGUGUACCGAUUUACAAGAGCGUUGUUUGGCCUCACAUGUUCGCCUUUCCUUCUGAACGGUGUAUUGAACGAACAUUUGAAAUCAUGGGAGACAAAACGUCCUGAACUCGUGGAAGAGAUACGCAAGAACCUUUACGUUGACGACCUUAUGACGGGGGGAGCGACCAUAACGGAAGUAAAGGAAAAGAAGAGUCAAGCCAGAGAAAUCUUCGAAGACGUUCAAACUGCACAAAUGGCACUUGAAUGUGAAAAAAUUGGAAAGUCCAACAACGAAUGACGAGGAAAUAACAUUCGCGAAGCAAGAGCUUGGAGAUGAGAAACCGCGGACCAAACUGCUUGGGCUUUCAUGGGACAAGUCGAAAGACAGUCUAAGCGUUACACUUGAUCACGAAGGUUAUGGCACAACAAAGAGAAGUGUGUUAUCCCAACUCGCCAAAAUAUACGAUCCACUAGGGUUGGUCUCUCCUAUGACGUUGCAAGGAAAGAAUCUCUUCCGUGAAAUGUGUGAAGCCCGUAUUCCUUGGGAUGGUGAAUUACCCGAGACCUCGAAGCAACGCUGGGAAGAGUGGUACACAGGACUCCCACAAAGUUACGAGAUUCCACGAUCCUUAGCUCCCCACCAGGAGCUCGUUGCAGCGAUCACACUUCAUGCCUUUGGCGAUGCAAGCAAAGUUGGAGUGUCGGCCGUGGUAUAUGCAGUUGUAGAGCAAGAACAUGGAACAACGCAAGGGUUGGUGUGCGCGAAAUCUCGAUUGGCGAAGCGUAAUCUCUCCAUACCUCGUCUAGAACUCGUUGCCGGACACAUGGCAGUGAACUUGCUAUCAAACGUGGAGAAUGAAAUCGAUCAAAAAUUAGUCUCGUCGGUCCAUUGCUGGUUGGACUCCACAGUAGCGCUCUACUGGAUCAAUGGUCAAGGAGAAUAUCGCCAGUUCGUUGCCAACCGCGUUGCCAAGAUCCAAACCCACACUCGUGUGAAAUGGCAUCACGUACCAACGAAACAAAAUCCUGCUGACUUAGGUAGUCGCGGUGGAAGUGUUGUUGGAAACGACCUUUGGGAAAAUGGUCCACAGUGGCUGAAAGACCCCGCAAAGUGGCCACCAAAUCCAGUGCUCGAAGCGAAUCGAGAAGUGGAAGAGGAACUAAAACCGACCAAGAAUCAACAAGCACUAACAACGCUCAAGCAAUCGAUCACCAUCGACAUAUGGGAAGAGUUGCUCAAGAAGGUUUCUCUCCGGAAGGCCCUGAGAAUUCGUGCCCAAUUCAGCCGGUUUGCAAAGAAUCGUAAGGUAUCCUGCGAAAAUCGGAAAACAGGACCGUUAACGUCGGAAGAAAUCGAAGAAAGUGAACUUUGGGCGAUUAAAAGAACGCAAAGUGAAGUCAAGAAAGAUCCUGAAUUCCACGACAUCCAACUUCAAUUGAACAUUCAGCUUAACGGAAACGGAGUACUCGAAUGUCGCGGUCGCAUUGAAGGAGAUUUCCCCGUGUACUUGCCUCGCAGUUCCACCUUAGCCAAGAAAGUAGUCGAACGAGCACAUCUAGUAACCCUCCACGGUGGUGUCGCUAUGGUCAUGGCAAAAGUACGUGAGCGAUUUUGGAUUCCAAAACUGCGACGGUUGGUGAAGCAAGUGCGGAAAGAUUGUUACGGGUGCGUGAGAUUUAGAGCUCAAGCAUAUAAGAAACCUCCACCUGGGAAGCUGCCAAUCACGAGAACGCAAGGUUCAACCCCGUUCCAAGUCAUUGGAGUAGAUUUUGCGGGUCCAAUACGCUACCGGACUAAAGCAAAGGCGGAGAAGAAGGCAUACCUGGUGCUUUAUGGCUGCAGUUUGACGCGUGCAGUGCAUCUCGAGAUCUUACGGUCACUGGAAGUUGCGGAGUUCAUGCCAAGUCUGAAAAGGCUCAUCGCAAGACGUGGUCGCCCA